GGUGGAGCAGGGGGCUCACGGGGUAGGGGUGAGGGUGGUGCAGGGGGCUCACGGAGUCGGGGUGGGGGUAGGGGUGAGGGUGGAGCGGAGGCUCCCCGGGGGUGGGGGUGGGGAUAAGGGAGGCCCCGGGUGGUGAAGCUCCUCAUGGAGCGGGGAGGCCUUACCUGUUGCCGCUCUGCCCUCCGCAGGGUGGGCCGCAGCAGCAUGGCGUCUGUGCUGGUGCGGAAGGUGCUGGUGUCAGCCCUGAGCCCGCUGCCCCGGCUGAGCCCGCACCUGGCGAUGCCCCGAGCGCUCUCCACUCUCCUGCCGGACCCUUUCGCGCUGCCGGUGCCACUGGUACGAAGUCCACGGUGUGGGGGCUCAUGGGCCCCGUGCCCCUGCCCGGCCCCCUGCUGCCAGGCCUGCAGCCUGCCCUGGGGUUCAAGACCAAGGGUGUCAUCAAGGAGCGCUGCCGGGACUGUUACCGCGUGAAGAGGCGAGGGCGCUGGUACAUCUACUGCAAGACCAACCCGAAGCACAAGCAGCGACAGAUGUAGUUCCGGUCGCUAAAAUAACGUGCAAAGUUGCAUCACUUCUUGGAAAAAUGGUACCACCUACUGAAAGAAAAAUAAAAUUUACACACGCGGCUAAUCUUUGUCGACUGUCCGGUCUUGACUCUAGUGCCCGUGCACCUCACCUCCUGUAGCAGCCAGGUCCAGUCAGCUAGGCCAGCCAGAGCCCAAAUGGGAAACGCAUUGUUCUUAUCUCCUGUGCAAGCCGCUGGUACUGGGGCCGAGGGUAGAAGAUAAACGGAGGGAGAGCUGGUCAGAACGCAGCCGGUUAGGAAGAGCCCGGUUCCCUGUGCAGGACCCUCCUGGCAGGGGGAGCUCACCCUGGCUCUACACUCAGCCAGAGCCCUGCUUUUAAUGACCUCAGAUGCUUUUUCUCAGCAUUCCUGUCUUGGAAAAGCUACUCAUUAGAACCAAACAGAAGCUUUCUUUCAGGAGAAACAAGGAGAUGCGGGGAAUUGGCUACCGCCAGCAGAGCGAACCUAAUACCUCCGCGGGUCUGGAGAGCGGGCGCCCCAGGGCUCCCAGGAGCGGAGACAACACCCUGCCCCAUGCGGGGACCCCAGACGCUGGCCCCCAGGGGAGAGGGGCACAAGAGCUGGUCCUCACUUCCUCCUGGGAAAAUGCACACAGACGACACCCAUGUUGUGCACACAUAUACACGGGCACUCGCCCAUGUGUGUGCACACGCACUCACAAGCAUGUACCAUAUACGCACACACACACAUGUGCGUACAUGCAGCCACACCUGCCCCCUUAGGGCCCAGGGGCUAACUUGGGACAGACAGCAGUGGACAGAUGGUCUCGGGCGCAGCUGGUUCUGAGCUCAUGGCAACCUGCUGUGGCCCAUGGCCCGAGAUUACCCACAGCUACAGUGCUUCUGGCUGGAGGGUAGAGGGAGCCCCCAGAGCUGCUCGGGGGGGCACAGCCCCAGCCCAGCCCAGGCUCAGGCCAGCCGCCAGGCUCCUGCAGCUGCCCGUAGUCCCGCCCCUUCACAAGUCACCGUGUGUCCUGGCUAGCUCGGCCAGAUCGGGAGGUUAAACAGCAGACGUUCACAUCUCCCCAUCCUGGAGGCUGCAUGGCGAGAGCCAGGUGGGUUUCCCCGGGGCUUCCGACCCCAAUGUGCGGAUGACUGCCUUCUCACUGCGUCAUCCCAUAGACGUCCCUCAGUGCCAGCUAACUCUCGGAAUGCUUCCUAGAAAAAUCAUGUCCUAGGCCUCAGAACUGAAAAAAAAAUGAGCAAGAAGUGUCUCGGUCUGCAGGAUACAUACCCCCACGUCUUUCCCCGUAAGACAGAAUGUGAACAAACUGUGGGUGUGUGGAAAGGCCUUGCAGAGGAACCUCCAAAGGAUGAAGCGCCGGGCUGCCUGGGGUCCUGUACUCAUCCUCACCUGGGAGAUGGGACAAUUAGGGAAGAGGAGAGAGGGGACUGAGGCCCAGAUAGCCCCCUGUGGGGUCCGGGACCAGGGGUCUGAGGUCUGCAUCGAGUGGACCCACCCCUAGCCCUCUACCUGCAUCCUUGCCUCCCUGCUGCUCAGCUGUGGGAGCUGGAGCAGAAUGGUGUCCACACUGGGACAGAACAGCCCCACUGACACCCUCGGCCGUGCCUGGCCAUGGAUCACUGACCACGGGCCAUGGAGCCACCGACCACGGAGCCAUGGAGCCACGGAGCCAUGGAGCCACUGACCAUGGAGCCAUGGAGCCACGGAGCCACACAGAGGUCGAUGGACAAGCUCAGGCCUUGCUUGUGUACUGAGCCAGCAGAAUAAAUGCAGGAGGUGAUGAACUGAGCUCCCUCCCUGACCAGACACGUCAGGAUGCUGGCAGGAGGUUGGGCACCUUUGCUGAGGAUGGUUCAUGAGACCUGGAGGUCAGCACGGAGCCCCCUACCCCCCUGCCCCCAUGUCAGGAGCAAGGAGGCUGCUGCUGCCGUGGUGCUGGCCACUCAGGGCUGCCUGCCCUCAGCCCCCACACCAGCCCCUCAUCUCCUUAAAUCUCCCAUCCUUGCAGGGAGUCUCCAGAGCUCAGCUCCACCUUGGGACCACAGUUCUGCGGCUCCCAUGCGAUGGGGCCUGGCUCCAACCUGGACACUGUGCCAGUGCAGGCCGACCUCCGGUCCUGAGGAGUUCUCUGUGGCUUCCCGCUCACCCCCUGCAUGUCUGAGCUGAGGGUAGACCACCCACAGGCAGGGUCUGGAUUCCCCGUCUACACUCCAAGUUGGAAACAUGGGCACCGCUCCCGGAUGCAACACACAGCCCCUCUCUCUCCGGCCCCUGUCUUCCCUACGUGCCUUGCCAUGUCCACCUCCAUGUGGGCGGGCCGUGGGACCCAGACAUCACCCUCCCAAGUCCCUGCUGUCGCUGGGACCUGCCUCCCCCCCCCCCAGGUUGAGACCUGCCCCUCUGGCACCAUCCACCAGACACACACGAGAUCCAUGCAAACAGCUGAAGAUGCACAUGGGCUUCUGUGUUCUGUGUCCUGACUCUCCGUCCCUGAGGCCCUCACGGGGGUGCAGGUAUCCCCCGCCACUCCACUGACAGCCCUAGGGCCACCCUGGCCUGAGUAGCUCUCAAUGGACACUGUUGAUCUGCAUAAACCCAGUGAAGUGGCCUCAGUGAGGGGAACUUGUGCACAUGGGUCAGAAGCCCCCGAGCCGGUGGUCCAGAUGGAGCGUCUAGCUGCACAAGAUCUAAUCUCCACAGGGUUUGCUACUGUAGGAGAGAGACUUUUUCCAUAAUUUCUUCUCAUGACCAACCAAAAUACCUGUGAAAAACUGAGAUACCUGCUUCUGCUUCAGAAGAAAACGUAAAGAAGGCCAUCUGAUUUCUCAGACUUUUAAUUGACAAGUUCUGUGUGUAGAACACGGACCCUAAUUGAUAAAGGCUGCACUGUCUCCUCAUUUAGAGCUCCGGGGUUUUCUGUUUGUCAGUGAUCCCGUUCUAAAUCAACUUUGCAUUUUCUGUUUACCUGUGUAUUUUAUUUUAUUUACACAAGUAAAUUAUUACAUGCCUAGAAACCUAACAGAUUUAAUUAGGUAUUAGUCUCGAACUCGAUCAAGAAUUUUCCCCUUUCUUCUUAAAAUUGUUCUAUCAUCCUUCUAACCUGCCUGCAUGGGGGGCAGUUCAACUCUGAGAGCACAGAGAUUUGUAAAUUGUGUCAACCUCAUCUUCGUGUAGUCAUGUGCAAUUGAACAGAAAUUGAAUUUUAGGGAUGAAUAAAUAACAGAAAAGCUUGCUUUUUCCCUGAGUUGUCUGAGCCCUCAGAAGACAAGGGGCCAUGAACAGGCCGGGGACAAUCCAGGUCUGCAUGCUGGGCCCUGGCAGUCUGUGAUCUCUUGAGGCCACAAGGACAUGCAGGACUGUCCUGGGCACGGGUCCUAGAAGGGGGGGACAAUUUGGACGCUGGGCCCCUGUGGUCCCACCACACCCGGACUGCAGACCCUGGCAGAGAGCAUGGAGCACCCCAGCCCUUCAUCUGGCACCUGAGACUGAGACGACCAACGACCCGCCCUGCCAUGCAGACGCAUGACCUCAUGACCUGGUUCUAGCCCACCUGGGCUGUGUUAGUCAGGCUGUUCCGGAGACCCAGAACCUGUAGUGUGUAUGUUGGCUUUUAUAAAUCUGCACACAGAUUUUAAGGAGAUGGCUCACGUGAUGAUGGGGUUGGUCUGAAGUCUGUAGAGCAGGCUGGCAAGCUGGAAAUUCAGGGAAGAGUUGAUGUUGCCUGCCUUGAGUUCAAAAUGUGAAGGGCAGACUGGCAGGCCAGAAAUUUGGCAGGACUUCCACAUUACAGUCUUGGGAAACUUGUCUUUGUUCUUAAGGCCUUCAAUUGGAUGAGGCCUGCCCAUAGUACGAAGACUAAUCUGUCUUACUCGAAGUCUACUGGUUUAAGUGGUAAUUACAUCUUAAAAAUUACCUUCACAGCAACAUCCAGACUGAUGUUUGACCCAACAAAUGGGCACCAUGACCUACCCAGGUCAACACAUAAAAUUAGCCAUCAGAUGGCAAUGUGGCCACAUUGGGAGCUCCAGGAGCCAUUUUGCAACCAUGAGGAACCAAGGACAAAGGAAAGGCUGAGGGAUCGUGGACCAGCCUAUGGGCUGGGGAGAAACAACCCCUGCGUGUCCAGGACACUCUGCUUGCUUAGCCUUGGGGGUCUUCCAUGCUAUGGAAGUCGGUCGCAACAUCCACCUUCCUGAGUACAGGCGAUGGCUGGAGCAAGAGCACUGUGAUGAGCUUUGCCAAACCCGUCCUGCCAUCAGCCAGAUGUGGCACCCAGGGACCCAGCAGUGCCUCCCAAGCUGUCCUGGCGGGAGCCACAGAGAGCCAGUGUGCUCUGCACGGUGCAGGCAGGCCCCGACUAGGGAGCUGAGAGGGGCCAAGCCGCAGCCUCGCCAAGCCUGACUGCCCCUCAGCGCAGCCUCCUCCCUGUAAACGCAGCAAACUGACCGUCGAACCCUGGCGGCGUUUCUGCAGCUGAAACCUCACUCGGCCACGUCGUGGUUUAUUCUUCCUUUAGUAAACCGGUCAGGCUCUGACUUCCACAGACGUGCAGGCGAUGUGAGUCCAGGGCCUGCUGGGGGGAAGAAAGACGUGUGGCUACAUUGUUCCUACCGUGCCCGACAUACCCACUGGAUGAAGGGGGCGACCCCUGCCAGCAGACAGGCGAGCCUUGGGGCCUGACCCAGAACAAGUGGCGCAGGGCUCACCACCCGUUACUCUGGGGCGACACUGGCCUCGCUGAUGAACGCGCUUGCGGCAGGAACCGAGAAGAAGUCGGAGCAGAAAGGUGACCCAGAGGGGAGUGCUCCCAGGAGGAUGCCUGGAUGCCUGUGACGCUGGAUGCGCAGCGGAGCUGGAGGCCCUGGCAGGGAAACAGCAAGGAGGCUGCGCCCAGGGCACCUGUCAGUGUGGGUCCAGCUGCGGCCACAGAACCCAAGGAGGUGGCCCCAUUGCCUCGCACACUCCCAGUUAAAAGCAUCUUCUUUCCUUCACUCACAACUUUUUCUUGCACAUCAACAUCCUCUGAAGGUCACAGGGUCGGUCCAUGUGGCUUCCCAUCGCAGGGCUGCCCCCCGCCCCUGCAGAGCUGUUGAUUCCACGUCGCGGACACCCCAGUCAGGGCGGCACUAACCACAGGCGCCUGCAGACAACGCCCUGUGGCCCAGGGGACUUGCUCGGGCUUGCUGACCCCAGUGGCCGCAGGAACAUCAGAGGGAUGGGACAGGCCCGUCCUGCAACUCCAUAGCAGGGAGCCCUACCGCGACCCCCGCGUCCACAGAGCCCGCCCCCCCACCUCCUAUUCAGGGUCCGUGUCUCGGUGCUUUCUCUCCAGCAAGGGAGGCUCAACUUCUUAGCCAUUCAGUUUCAUUUCAAACCAACACAUGCUCUUUCUGCAGCCAGGAGGGAGUGUUGUUUGUUCUAAAAGGAACAACACACAGAGCUGUGACAUAAACACAAAUAAUUGGCUCUGUGACAUUCUUAAUAAAAAAAACAUGUUGAUUUUGUUGUAGUGGCAAAUUUAUAGCAUAUUUUUCUGCUAAGUGAGAACAAAUGUGAUCUGGGUCGCAGCUCCCGUCAGCAUCCCAAGAUUGCCCCCUAUGGACACGGGGUUUACAGGGACCCGCUUGGCGGGGGGCCUCCAGGGGCAGGUGCCCCGAGGGGUCAAUGCGGCUUCUCCCU
rnacentral:lncRNA from 1 species